UACGGAGGGGGCUAGCGUUGUUCGGAAUCACUGGGCGUAAAGGGUGCGUAGGCGGGUCUUUAAGUCAGGGGUGAAAUCCUGGAGCUCAACUCCAGAACUGCCUUUGAUACUGAGGAUCUUGAGUUCGGGAGAGGUGAGUGGAACUGCGAGUGUAGAGGUGAAAUUCGUAGAUAUUCGCAAGAACACCAGUGGCGAAGGCGGCUCACUGGCCCGAUACUGACGCUGAGGCACGAAAGCGUGGGGAGCAAACAGG
rnacentral:rRNA from 1 species